rnacentral:rRNA from 1 species
AACGAACGCUGGCGGCGUGCCUUAUACAUGCAAGUAGAACGCAGUUGCGAACGGGUGAGUAACGCGUAGGUAACUACCUAUUUGCGGGAGAUAACUAUUGGAAACGAUAGCUACUACCGCAUACUAUUAGCUGGACCUUCGUUGUAUUAGCUAGUAGGUCGGGUAAUGGCCUCCCUAUGCAACGAUACAUAGCCGACCUGAGGGGGUGAUCGGCCACAAUGGGACUGAGAAACGGCCCAGAAUCCCACGGGAGGGAGCCGUAGGGAAUCUGCGGCAAUGGGGGGAAACCUGGCUGAGCAACGCCGCGGGGUGGAAGAAGGGUGUCGGAGCGUAAAGGUCUGUUGUGAAGGAAGCGGUACUUACCCAGAAAGGGACGGCUAACUACGUGCCAGCAGCCGCGGUAAUUC